AUUGAACGCUGGCGGAAUGCUUUACACAUGCAAGUCGAACGGCAGCACGGGGCAACCUGGUGGCGAGUGGCGAACGGGUGAGUAAUACAUCGGAACGUGCCCAAUCGUGGGGGAUAACGUAGCGAAAGUUACGCUAAUACCGCAUACGAUCUACGGAUGAAAGCGGGGGAUCGCAGGACCUCGCGCGAGUGGAGCGGCCGAUGUCAGAUUAGGUAGUUGGUGGGGUAAAGGCUCACCAAGCCAACGAUCUGUAGCUGGUCUGAGAGGACGACCAGCCACACUGGAACUGAGACACGGUCCAGACUCCUACGGGAGGCAGCAGUGGGGAAUUUUGGACAAUGGGCGCAAGCCUGAUCCAGCCAUUCCGCGUGCAGGAUGAAGACCUUCGG
rnacentral:rRNA from 1 species